UACACAUGCAGUCGAACGGCAGCACGGGGGCAACCCUGGUGGCGAGUGGCGAACGGGUGAGUAACAUAUCGGAACGUGCCCUGGAGUGGGGGAUAACUAGUCGAAAGACUAGCUAAUACCGCAUACGAUCUACGGAUGAAAGUGGGGGAUCGCAAGACCUCAUGCUCGUGGAGCGGCCGAUAUCUGAUUAGCUAGUUGGUGGGGUAAAGGCCUACCAAGGCAUCGAUCAGUAGCUGGUCUGAGAGGACGACCAGCCACACUGGGACUGAGACACGGCCCAGACUCCUACGGGAGGCAGCAGUGGGGAAUUUUGGACAAUGGGGGCAACCCUGAUCCAGCAAUGCCGCGUGAGUGAAGAAGGCCUUCGGGUUGUAAAGCUCUUUUGUCAGGGAAGAAACGGCGGGAGCUAAUAUCUCCUGCUAAUGACGGUACCUGAAGAAUAAGCACCGGCUAACUACGUGCCAGCAGCCGCGGUAAUACGUAGGGUGCAAGCGUUAAUCGGAAUUACUGGGCGUAAAGCGUGCGCAGGCGGUUGUGCAAGACCGAUGUGAAAUCCCCGGGCUUAACCUGGGAAUGGCAUUGGUGACUGCACGGCUAGAGUGUGUCAGAGGGGGGUAGAAUUCCACGUGUAGCAGUGAAAUGCGUAGAGAUGUGGAGGAAUACCGAUGGCGAAGGCAGCCCCCUGGGAUAACACUGACGCUCAUGCACGAAAGCGUGGGGAGCAAACAGGAUUA
rnacentral:rRNA from 1 species